GGCUCAGAUUGAACGCUGGCGGCAGGCCUAACACAUGCAAGUCGAGCGGCAGCGGAAAGUAGCUUGCUACUUUGCCGGCGAGCGGCGGACGGGUGAGUAAUGUCUGGGGAUCUGCCUGAUGGUGGGGGAUAACUACUGGAAACGGUAGCUAAUACCGCAUAACGUCGCAAGACCAAAGUGGGGGACCUUCGGGCCUCACGCCAUCGGAUGAACCCAGAUGGGAUUAGCUAGUAGGUGGGGUAACGGCUCACCUAGGCGACGAUCCCUAGCUGGUCUGAGAGGAUGACCAGCCACACUGGAACUGAGACACGGUCCAGACUCCUACGGGAGGCAGCAGUGGGGAAUAUUGCACAAUGGGCGCAAGCCUGAUGCAGCCAUGCCGCGUGUGUGAAGAAGGCCUUCGGGUUGUAAAGCACUUUCAGCGAGGAGGAAGGGGUGGGCGUUAAUAGCGCUUAUCAUUGACGUUACUCGCAGAAGAAGCACUCGGC
rnacentral:rRNA from 1 species